CUUUUCCUACGUUUGGGGUGC
rnacentral:sRNA from 1 species